rnacentral:piRNA from 1 species
CACCACGGAAGACCGUACCAAUGGCGC